rnacentral:rRNA from 1 species
GACGGAGGGUGCUAGCGUUGUUCGGAAUCACUGGGCGUAAAGGGCGCGUAGGCGGCCUUGCAAGUCGGUUGGUGAAAGCCCGGGGCUCAACCCCGGAGGUGCGGCCGAGACUGCAGGGCUGGAGGCCGGAAGAGGAGGGUGGAAUACCCAGUGUAGAGGUGAAAUGCGCAGAUAUCAGGAAGAACACCCGUGGCGAAAGCGGCUCCCUGGAACGGUACUGACGCUGAGACGCGAAAGCGUGGGGAGCGAACAGG